AUUAACUUUGGCCAUCUGUUCUCUCUUUUUUUCUCUCUUCUUUCUUCUUCUUCUUCCCCGACUUAAAUUUUUCGGCGAUGGGAGACGAGAAGCCGGCGAUUGUGAUGGCCAAUCGUGAAAGAGAUAGAGAGCUCUUGAUUCCCGUCGCUGAUUCCGGCGACAAAGAUGAUGGUUCUUCUUCGAAGCCUUCUUCUUCUUCUGCGCAUCAGUCCAUCCACGAGGUCUAGUUUUUCCACCUUCCCAAACUUUAUAUAUAUCUUCUGGUCCUGAUCUAGGCUUUAGUCGCCAACUUCUAGAUUCUGAGAGCUCUCCCGAAUCCCUGUGAAAUCGGAUUCGAUAUCACUUCCGAAUCUUCUGGUACGCGACAAAAUUAGGGUUUUAGAUCGCAAAAUUUCUCGUCACAUGUCUCGGUUUCAUACUCUUCUUUAGUCUUUAGCUUGAUUUCUUAUGUUUAUGUCACUGUUUCGCAUUUAUCUACUCGAUUUUGAACGAGUUAGGGCUACGUCGCGUUCCUGUACUCGAUUUUGAACGAUUUAAGGUUACGUCGGCUUCCCUUUGCUAUGUUGAUUCUGCGAAAUUCUUGAUUUGCUUUCAUAGAUUGAUGUGUUGCGCUCGGAUUGUUUGUUCACAUUCGUUGUGUUCUUUCUCUCUUUGUGAUUUAUCGCCGUGGAUGCGUAAUUUCUUUUUAUCGUUGUUCUUUUGGUAGUCUGAUUAGUUUUAUUUUGUGCUUAAGAACUGAAUUCCGUUGUUGUUAUUCCGUUGUAGAUACUUUAUUGCAGAAUCUUGUUCAAGGUCGAUUGAAAAGAGUCAUUUCAUAAUGGCGAAGAAGGAAAUUGCCUUGGAGCAAGGAUGGUCUGUCAUGGAGAUUGGUGUUGCAAAGCUACAAAGGAUUCUGGAAGAAAAGCCUGAGCCACCAUUUGAGUCGGUUCAAUAUAUGAAUCUGUACAGGACUAUCUACAAUAUGUGUGUCCAAGAACCUCCUAAUGAUUACUCACAACAACUUUAUGAUAUGUAUCGUGGAGUAAUUGAUGAUUAUAAUAAGCAAACAGUGUUGCCGGCUAUAAGGAACAAGGAUGGUGAAUAUAUGCUGAGAGUGCUUGUUAAGAGGUGGUGCAGGAAGUUUACAUACAUGUAAAAAGGAGCCUCAAAGGAACAUUGCCCUUGUUGGAGCUCAUUCGUCUUAUGUGCAACGUUUUGUGGUUAUGGCUGCAGUUUCGUCUUAGCUUCAUAUCCUAAACUUGGUGAGAAUAAGGCCAAGGCAACACCGAAAUGCAAUGUGACUAUAGAGGACGAUAUCAGAGAGUGAGAGCACUUUAGAGAGUAACAAGGAGACUGUGAAUGGUGAUAUCAAUGGUGAGUUUCUGGAACACAUUUGAUAAGAGUAACAAGAAGACUCUAAAGAAGAUUUUGGACUAGAUGAGGUCUGUUAGAUAGCUAGAUAGCAGGUUAAGUUGAAACUUAUGAGUUGUGUAACGUUUAUUUAAUUUGGUUUUGAACCUAAUGUUGUCAAACAACAGUUAUUGUUUAAUUUAAUUUUAGUUUUCUUCAUUGAUACAAAACAGAUUCAGAA